GGGACUUCGGUCCCGAGUAGAGUGGCGCACGGGUGAGUAACGCGUAAGUAAUCUACCCCUGUAUUUGGAAUAACCUACCGAAAGGUGAGCUAAUACCGGAUACGUUUGAGAUGAUGCGAAUCAUUUCACAGAAAGGAGGCCUCUGCAUAUGCUUCCGUACAGGGAUGAGCUUGCGUACCAUUAGCUAGUUGGCAGGGUAAUGGCCUACCAAGGCGACGAUGGUUAGCGGGUCUGAGAGGAUGAUCCGCCACACUGGAACUGGAACACGGACCAGACUCCUACGGGAGGCAGCAGUGAGGAAUAUUGCGCAAUGGGGGAAACCCUGACGCAGCGACGCCGCGUGGAUGAUGAAGGCCCUUGGGUCGUAAAAUCCUGUCAGAUGGAAAGAAAUGCUCUAUGGUUAAUACCUGUAGAGUUUGACGGUACCAUCAAAGGAAGCACCGGCUAACUACGUGUCCGUG
rnacentral:rRNA from 1 species